rnacentral:rRNA from 1 species
AUGUCCGCCGCCGCCGCCGCCCGAGGUCUCAAAUCCGUCGCCCGCGCCGCCUUCUCCUGGAAGCCGACGGGCCGGGCGCAGCAGACGCUCGCGGCGGCGGUGAGCAGGUCGGGCGUGGGGCUCCACUCGGGCGCGCGCGCCACCGCCACGCUGCUCCCUGCGCGCGCCGGCGAGGGGAGGUACUUCGUCGUGGAGGAGGCGAGGGUGGCGGCGGAGGUGGGGAAUGCCGAGCCACAGUCCCCGCUCUGCACCACGCUGCGGAGCGGGAGCGGCGGCGCGCGGGUGCGCACGGUGGAGCACCUGCUCUCGGCCAUGGAGGCGCUCGGCGUGGACAACUGCCGCGUCGAGGUCAGCGGCGGCGAUGAGAUCCCUUUGCUUGAUGGAUCAGCGCAAGAGUGGGUGGAGGCCAUCCGGGGUGCAGGUCUGUGUGCGGCCGAGGAUAUCGGUGGACAAAAGUUGGAGAAACUGGCACCCAAAAUUGACGAGCCUGUUUACCUGCGGAAGGACGAUUGCUUUGUAGCUGCAUUCCCUUCCUCGCAAAUCCACAUCACAUAUGGAAUUGAUUUUCCAAAGGCGCCAGCGAUUGGUUGUCAAUGGUUCAAUACUUUCCUGGAUGCUGAUAUAUACUCAAGCAAGAUAGCUCCUGCAAGAACUUUCUGUAUUUUUGAAGAGGUUGAAAAAAUGCGUGGUGCCGGGCUUAUAAAAGGAGGAUCACUGGAAAAUGCUAUGGUUUGCAGUAUGUCUGGUGGUUGGCUUAAUCCACCACUUCGUUUUGAUGAUGAACCUUGCCGCCACAAGAUUUUAGAUCUUAUAGGUGACUUCUCACUUCUUGCACGAAAUGGCAGCCAGGGUUUUCCAAUUGCUCAUGUAGUUGCCUACAAGGCUGGCCAUGCCCUGCACACCAGUUUCCUACACCAUUUAUCGGGGGAGACCAGUGUGGACCAAGGAACGCUUGCUUAA